UGAAAAUGCAAAAGUUGAAAAUGCAAAAGUUGAAAAUGUAAAAGUUGAAAAUGCAAAAGUUGAAAAUGCAAAAGUUGAAAAUGCAAAAGUUGAAAAUGUAAAAAGUUGAAAAUGCAAAAGUUGAAAAUGCAAAAGUUGAAAAUGCAAAAGUUGAAAAUGUAAAAGUUGAAAAUGCAAAAGUUGAAAAUGUAAAAGUUGAAAAUGCAAAAGUUGAAAAUGCAAAAGUUGAAAAUGUAAAAGUUGAAAAUGUAAAAGUUGAAAAUGUAAAAGUUGAAAAUGUAAAAGUUGAAAAUGUAAAAGUUGAAAAUGUAAAAGUUGAAAAUGUAAAAGUUGAAAAUGUAAAAGUUGAAAAUGCAAAAGUUGAAAAUGCAAAAGUUGAAAAUAUAAAAGUUGAAAAUGUAAAAGUUGAAAAUGUAAAAGUUGAAAAUGUAAAAGUUGAAAAUGUAAAAGUUGAAAAUGCAAAAGUUCAAAAUGUAAAAGUUGAAAAUAUAAAAGUUGAAAAUAUAAAAGUUGAAAAUGUAAAAGUUGAAAAUGUAAAAGUUGAAAAUGUAAAAGUUGAAAAUGUAAAAGUUGAAAAUGUAAAAGUUGAAAAUGUAAAAGUUGAAAAUGUAAAAGUUGAAAAUGCAAAAGUUAAAAUGCAAAAGUUCAAAAUAUAAAAGUUGAAAAUAUAAAAGUUGAAAAUAUAAAAGUUGAAAAUGUAAAAGUUGAAAAUGUAAAAGUUGGAAAUGUAAAAGUUGGAAAUGUAAAAGUUGAAAAUGCAAAAGUUGAAAAUGUAAAGGUUGGAAGUUCGGGAACCACGGAGGCAGCUGGGGGGGGGGGGGGCACAAGAACCACAAUCGUAAAUUCGUGCGUUAUUCAAAUGAGUAGAGAUCGAGAACUGUUUUUGCUAAGCCCAAGUUAGCUCAAAUUUAAAUCCGAAAUUCUUGUCAGAAACGUUAAAGAGUUCGAAAGCCUGUACUUAAAUAAUGAACAAGUUGUCAUGUUGUUUUACGAUGUGUUUUACUCCUUACAGCCAUGCAACGCAUGUAAAUCAGUAUAAUUGUUCCAAUCAUAUUCCGGUUCUUUUCAGUUCGAUGUUUUCAUAUCGGUUUUGAGGCUUUUGCUGUUAUAUGUUAGUAACUCUUCUAAUUCUAUGCAUUUGCAUGGAGACUCUUCACC